rnacentral:rRNA from 1 species
UGGGGAAUAUUGGACAAUGGGCGAAAGCCUGAUCCAGCCAUGCCGCGUGUGUGAAGAAGGUCUUCGGAUUGUAAAGCACUUUAAGUUGGGAGGAAGGGCAGUAAGCGAAUACCUUGCUGUUUUGACGUUACCGACAGAAUAAGCACCGGCUAACUCUGUGCCAGCAGCCGCGGUAAUACAGAGGGUGCAAGCGUUAAUCGGAAUUACUGGGCGUAAAGCGCGCGUAGGUGGUUCGUUAAGUUGCAUGUGAAAGCCCCGGGCUCAACCUGGGAACUGCAUCUAAAACUGGCGAGCUAGAGUAGGGCAGAGGGUGGUGGAAUUUCCUGGGUAGCGGUGAAAUGCGUAGAUAUAGGAAGGAACACCAGUGGCGAAGGCGACCACCUGGGCUCAUACUGACACUGAGGUGCGAAAGCGUGGGGAGCAAACAGG